AAAAUUACAAUGAAGAGAAGAGUAGGUGUGGAUGCUGUGAAGAGAGAGCCGGGAUGGUGAAAGCCGGUGACAGAAAAAGCAUUGAAGAUGGCCUCGGAGUAAGUUUGGGUGAAUCGUUUAGCCCGAACCGCUUGACGCGAUAAAACUUAAAGUUUUAAAAACUUAUGAAGGCAUUAUUUGUGAGAAUAAUGUGAACUAAGGUGGUAACGCGAACCCUUCGCCCUUAAC
rfam:Acetobacterium wieringae strain DSM 1911 ACWI_contig000026, whole genome shotgun sequence.